UACGUAGGGGGCAAGCGUUGUCCGGAAUCAUUGGGCGUAAAGAGCGUGUAGGCGGCCCGGUAAGUCCGCUGUGAAAGUCCAGGGCUCAACCCUGGGAUGCCGGUGGAUACUGUCGGGCUCGAGUCCGGAAGAGGAGUGUGGAAUUCCUGGUGUAGCGGUGAAAUGCGCAGAUAUCAGGAGGAACACCAAUGGCGAAGGCAGCUCGCUGGGACGUUACUGACACUGAGGCGCGAAAGCGUGGGGAGCAAACAGG
rnacentral:rRNA from 1 species